CCUACGGGAGGCAGCAGUGGGGAAUAUUGGACAAUGGGCGCAAGCCUGAUCCAGCAAUGCCGCGUGUGUGAAGAAGGCCUGCGGGUUGUAAAGCACUUUCAGUAGGGAGGAAAAGCUUCGGGUUAAUACCCCAUGAGUCUGACGUACCCACAGAAGAAGCACCG
rnacentral:rRNA from 1 species